rnacentral:rRNA from 1 species
GAGGAAUAUUGGGCAAUGCCCGCAAGGGUGACCCAGCAACGCCGCGUGGAGGAUGAAUGUCGUAAGAUUGUAAACUCCUGUUAGAGGGGAAGAAUAGUACCGGUUGGACCGGUAUAUGACUGUACCCUCAGAGAAAGCCCCGGCUAACUACGUGCCAGCAGCCGCGGUAAUACGUAGGGGGCAAGCGUUGUCCGGAUUUACUGGGUGUAAAGGGCGCGCAGGCGGGAUAAAAAGUCAGUGGUGAAAUCCUACAGCUUAACUGUAGAACUGCCUUUGAUACUUUUAUUCUUGAGUUCGGGAGAGAGAGACGGAAUUCCAGGUGGAGGGGUGAAAUACGUAGAUAUCUGGAAGAACACCAGUUGCGAAGGCGGUCUCUUGGUCCGACACUGACGCUGAGGCGCGAAAGCGUGGGGAGCAAACA